rnacentral:rRNA from 1 species
UCGCCUGUUUUAUCAAAAACAUGGCCUUUUGAUUAUAAUUUAAGGUCUGGCCUGCCCUAUGAAUUUUAAAUGGCCGCAGUAUAUUGACUGUGCAAAGGUAGCAUAAUCAUUAGUUUUUUAAUUGAAAGCUGGAAUGAAGGGUUGAAUGAGAAAAUAGCUGUCUCUAUUUAAAUUUUUUAUAAAUUUAUUUUUAAGUUAAAAAGCUUAAAUUAAAUUAGAAGACGAGAAGACCCUAUAGAGUUUUAUUUAUUUAUUAAAUAAAUAUUUUAGAAUUAAAUUUUUUAUUUAUUAAAUAAAUUUAAUUGGGGUGAUUUAAAAAUUUAAUUAACUUUUUAUAUAAUCAUACAUUAAUUUUUGAAUUUAUGAUCCUUAAAUAAAGAUUAAAAGAUAAAAUUACCUUAGGGAUAACAGCGUAAUUUUCUUAAAGAGUUCUAAUCGAAAGGAAAGAUUGCGACCUCGAUGUUGGAUUAAAAUAAAAUUUUGGUGUAGGAGCUAAAAUAUUUAGGUCUGUUCGACCUUUAAAAUUUUACUUGAUCUGAGUUCAAACCGGAGA